rnacentral:rRNA from 1 species
AAAGCUCAAAUUUGAAAUCCCCCCGGGGAGUUGUAAUUUGAAGAUUGCGUCUUGGAGGCGACCGUGUCUAUGUUCCUUGGAACAGGACGUCACAGAGGGUGAGAAUCCCGUGCGGCACGGCCCCCGGCUCCUUAUAAGGCGCUCUCGACGAGUCGAGUUGUUUGGGAAUGCAGCUCAAAGUGGGUGGUAAAUUCCAUCUAAAGCUAAAUACAGGCGAGAGACCGAUAGCGAACAAGUACAGUGAUGGAAAGAUGAAAAGCACUUUGAAAAGAGAGUGAAACAGCACGUGAAAUUGUUGAAAGGGAAGGGCAUGCCGUCAGAUUGUCAGUGUGGGUAAGAAGCGGGGUACAAAGACUGUGGAACGUGGCCCUCGGGUGUUAUAGCCGCAGUUCAUGCCCCGUCUCUUUCCGAGGCCUGCUUUGAGGACACCGACGUAAUGACCGG